rfam:Sphingobacterium paucimobilis HER1398 contig15, whole genome shotgun sequence.
GGUCAGGUGACUGAUUGGAAGGUAAAGGUUUGCAAGACCUUUUAUAAUGGUUCGAAUCCAUUCCUGACCU